rnacentral:rRNA from 1 species
UAACGCGUGGGAAUCUGCCUAUCAGUGGGGAAUAACGACGGGAAACUGUCGCUAAUACCGCAUACGCCCUUAGGGGGAAAGAUUUAUCGCUGAUAGAUGAGCCCGCGUACGAUUAGCUAGUUGGUGAGGUAAUGGCUCACCAAGGCAACGAUCGUUUGCUGGUCUGAGAGGAUGAUCAGCCCCACUGGGACUGAGACACGGCCCAGACUCCUACGGGAGGCAGCAGUGGGGAAUAUUGGACAAUGGGCGAAACCCUGAUCCAGCAAUGCCGCGUGUGAGAUGAAGGCCUUAGGGUUGU